UCAUGAAGAGCUGAGUGCCUGCUGGGUAGUAUGCGGUAGAGGGCUGCAGCGCCCGGGGACUGAAGAGCACAGACGGCUGAUAAAUGGCAGCUUCGUUUCUCCUUCAUUAUGAAGAAUAUGGUGAGCAGUUACGACCAUGGACUUCUGGUUCAACAUCUAAGUUCCCCAAGUCACCUGGCUGGGAACAUCAUCCACCUUUCCAGAAGCCAGCACUCUUACCUUCUUGGAAGCCUCGGGAUGCAGGAUCUGCCUGACAUGAAGCUGCCC